CCUACGGGAGGCAGCAGUGAGGAAUAUUGGUCAAUGGGCGCAAGCCUGAACCAGCCAAGUCGCGUGAGGGAUGACGGUCCUAUGGAUUGUAAACCUCUUUUGUCGGGGAGUAAGGCCCGCCACGUGUGGCGGGAAGGAGAGUACCCGAAGAAAAAGCAUCGGCUAACUCCGUGCCAGCAGCCGCGGUAAUACGGAGGAUGCGAGCGUUAUCCGGAUUUAUUGGGUUUAAAGGGUGCGUAGGCGGAAGGUUAAGUCAGCGGUCAAAUGUCGGUGCUCAACACCGGCCUGCCGUUGAAACUGGUCGUCUUGAGUGAGCGAGAAGUAUGCGGAAUGCGUGGUGUAGCGGUGAAAUGCAUAGAUAUCACGCAGAACUCCGAUUGCGAAGGCAGCAUACCGGCGCUCAACUGACGCUGAGGCACGAAAGCGUGGGGAUCGAACAGGAUUAGAUACCCCAGUAGUC
rnacentral:rRNA from 1 species